rnacentral:rRNA from 1 species
GACAGAGGGCGCAAGCGUUGUUCGGAAUUACUGGGCGUAAAGCGCGCGUUAGGCGGAUCUGUUAGUCCGUAAGUGAAAUCCCGCCGCUCAACGGCGGGGCUGCUUGGGAAACGGCAGGUCUGGGGACCGGUAGAGGUCGGUAGAAUUCCCGGUGUAGCGGUGGAAUGCGUAGAGAUCGGGAAGAAUACCCGUGGCGAAGGCGGCCGACUGGGCCGGAUCCGACGCGUAAUGCGCGAAAGCGUGGGAGCAACAGG